rnacentral:rRNA from 1 species
AAUCAACGCUGGCGGCGUGCCUCAGACAUGCAAGUCGAACGAUUAAAGCUCUCUUCGGAGAGUGCAUAGAGUGGCGCACGGGUGAGUAACACGUAAGUAAUCUACCUUCGAGUGGGGAAUAACGUCCGGAAACGGACGCUAAUACCGCAUAAUGCAGCGGCAUCGCAAGAUGACAGUUGUUAAAGGAGCAAUUCGCUUGAAGAGGAGCUUGCGGCAGAUUAGCUAGUUGGUAAGGUAACGGCCCACCAAGGCGACGAUCCGUAGCUGGUCUGAGAGGACGAUCAGCCACACUGGGACUGAGACACGGCCCAGACUCCUACGGGAGGCAGCAGUAGGGAAUCUUGCGCAAAGU